rnacentral:misc_RNA from 1 species
CAGAACCAAGAGAUCCGUUGUUGAAAGUUUUGUUUAAUUUACUUAAACUCCGACGCAAAGAUGCAGUGUUUGAUGGUCUCCGGGGGCGCUCGCCGUCGAAACGGCAGGGUCGCCCCCGAAGCAACAAGUUGUGUUCACAAAGGGUUGGAGGUCGAGCCCGAAGGCCCUCACUCAGUAAUGAUCCCU